GCAUGCAAACAGCAGCAGCAGCAGCAGCAACAACAACCCCCAGAUUCAGUAGGGUGUAUUUAUAUGUGCAUAUACAUACAAACAUAUAUACGCACACAUAUAUAUUGUAUGUGAAUAUAAUAAUAGCUGGAGAGCAGGGGUAUAUGGGAGGCACUGGAGGGAAAAAGAGGGCAGUGAUGUAAUUCUAUUUCCAUUAAAAUCUUUUUUUUUUUUAAAGUGUUGUUACCUAAAAAGACAUAGAGAACAGCACCAAGUGUCAGUUACCAAGAACUUACUGCAGGAAAGGGUUACUUUACAUGUGUUAUAUCAACUAACUCCCUAGCAUACCCUGCUGGGUAAACAUGAUUCCUAGUUUAGCGACAGGAACUGGCACUCGGUUAAAUGAAAAAUCAAAUAUCAGACUGUAAAACUAUGUAAUAAACAGCCAGUGCAGUGUCCAGUGGCAUAUACACAAGUUGAUUAUGUAUUUUGAGGAAAUACAUAAAAAUUAAGACCCCAGAGAAGUUUUCUUUUUUGAGAUAGGCUGGCUUCAAACUUGCUCAUAGCUGAAGGUGACCAUGAAUGCCUACCCGAUCCUCCUGCCUCUACCUAAGUGCUGAGGUUACAGGGUGUGACCCUGAUGUCCAUCUUGCCUGAAGAGAAAUUUAAAAACUUAAUAGUUUGUAUCGUGUCUCUUCAUCUCAGCUAAUUAACUAGGACCCCCUAAAAAGUGUUCAGUAGGCUACAAAAACUGCUUUUAAUCAUAUGGCAAUAGACACUGAAUACACUGCACAUGAAUGGGCACUUUAGAUUAUAUUGCUUUUAUGUGUUGAAAGUUUCAAAAGAUAUCUUACUUUUCUGCUUGUGGUGAGCGCCAUUAGACACUCUUCUUUAUUAAUUUGCCAGAAGGUACCGAAAGCAAACUGACUUCCAGGCAUCUUUGGUCACAGGGCAUCAAUAGUGUUUUUUGUGUAAAUGAUUUAUUGUGAAAGGUGACCCUGACACCAGAGAGCAGCAAGACCCCUUCCAGGGAGGGAGCUGCAAGCUGACACUGAGCUCUGUUGUGAAUGACAGCUCAGCAUCGAUGGCCCUGUCCCAAGGCUUCCCAGGCUCCUGCUUGCAGGUCCCUUAUUUGAGGAGAACCUUCUGGUUACAACAUCCAGAUAGAAGGAUGCCUCAGAGCAGAUGUGGUGCCAGCCUCACUGAGUCUGCUCUGACCACCAGGAGGACAACACCCAGGCUGGUCAGGUACCCCGUUCUGCUCUGCCCACGACUGGUGGCAAUCUGCAAGCACGGUGCCAACUCUGAAUGUCAACUCUCUUUAAUCAGCUCAAGGGUUCUGUGACUGUCCCAAAGUAACCUCGCCGAUACACUACCCUGUAACGGACGUGUUCACAAAUUAAAUGUGUUUUCCUUACU
rnacentral:lncRNA from 1 species